UCCUUUUUUAUAUUUUCCUCCCCAAACUCUCGGUUCUCUCUCCUCCGUGCAACCCUCAGACCCGACGGGUCUCGUCUGACCCGACCCGAGCGAAACGCUCUCCUCCGUCGUCCUUCAGCCCCGGACCCGGCUCCUCCCGAGGUCGUCUCACCAAGCUCAGCCGACCCCUAAGGUUGCCUUGCCCAACCGUUGCCCCUGUCAUGAGAUCGAAACCACCCAGCCACCGAUCGGCUGACCCGGACGGAUUUCCAACUUCCGGCUACCUGCCGGCGGAUUUCUUCCAGUUUUUGGGAUCUUCUCUUUCUCCUGAUCAUCCCUAUAUAAGCCUUGAAGGACGAUUCAAAGUGCGGAGCGAAAGAUCAAGGUUUGAAGCUUUCGACGGCUCUGGUUGAAUCUGGAAAUGUGAUCAGACGACCGAGAUUGAUCUAACUUCCAAGCUUGAUCUAGGACGAUCUAGACCGAAUCUCACUUAACUCCAGGUGAUUGACGGAAUUGUGUGAGCGGAGUAUGGAUGAUUUUGUGCUUGUCUUGGUUUGUGCGAAGACACAGAAGGAUAUGGAGUUGUGGCUUGUGAUCUAUAGUGAUUGGAAAAUGAGUUGGGAUGACAUGAUUUUGGCAACCGCGUUAUGUUGAGGGAAAUGAGUAUGAUUUCCUGGUUGUGCUGUUGAGGUAAAGGAAUAGUGAUCUAAUAGAUUGUGGGACGUAAAAUGAAUUGAGAGACAGAGCA